rnacentral:rRNA from 1 species
UACGGAGGGUGCGAGCGUUGUCCGGAAUCACUGGGCGUAAAGGGCGCGUAGGCGGCCGUGUAAGUCACUUGUGAAAUUCUGGGGCUCAACUCCGGGGCUGCAGGUGAGACUGCGUGGCUAGAGCACGGUAGAGGCGAGUGGAAUUCCCGGUGUAGCGGUGGAAUGCGUAGAUAUCGGGAAGAACACCAGUGGCGAAGGCGCUCUGCUAGGCCGUAACUGACACUGAGGGACGAAAGCUAGGGGAGCGAAUGGG